AGUUUGAUUAUGGCUCAGAACGAACGCUGGCGGCGCGUUUAAGCAUGCAAGUCGAGCGGCAAGGGCCUUCGGGCCCCUAGAGCGGCGGACGGGUGAGUAACACGUGGACAAUCUGCCCCCCGGCCCGGGAUAGCCCAGGGAAACCUGGAUUAAUACCGGAUGAGACGGGACCCGCGAUGGCGGGACCCGGGAAAGGCGCUGCGGCGCCGCCGGGGGAUGAGUCUGCGUCCCAUUAGCUAGACGGCGGGGUAACGGCCCACCGUGGCGACGAUGGGUAGCCGGCCUGAGAGGGUGGACGGCCACAUUGGAACUGAGACACGGUCCAGACUCCUACGGGAGGCAGCAGCUAAGAAUCUUCCGCAAUGGGCGAAAGCCUGACGGAGCCGACGCCGCGUGAACGAAGAAGGCCGUGAGGUUGUAAAGUUCUUUCAGGAGGGGGAACAACCGUGGCAGGGAAUGGCCGCGGGAUGACGUGAAUCCCGGAAUAAGCCCCGGCUAACUACGUGCCAGCCGCCGC
rnacentral:rRNA from 1 species